rnacentral:rRNA from 1 species
GACGAACGCUGGCGGCGUGCUUAACACAUGCAAGUCGAACGAUGAUGCCUGCAACUUGUUGUGGGUGGAUUAGUGGCGAACGGGUGAGUAAUACGUGAGUAACCUGCCCUCCUUCUUGGGAUAAGCCUUGGAAACGGGGUCUAAUGCCGAAUAUUCUGGAUGAUUCGCAUGGAUUGUUUGGGAAAGCUUUUGUGAAGGGGGAUGGGCUCGCGGCCUAUCAGCUUGUUGGUGGGGUGAUGGCCUACCAAGGCGGUGACGGGUAGCCGGCCUGAGAGGGUGACCGGCCACAUUGGGACUGAGAUACGGCCCAGACUCCUACGGGAGGCAGCAGUGGGGGAUAUUGCACAAUGGGCGAAAGCCUGAUGCAGCGACGCCGCGUGGGGGAUGAAGGCUUUCGGGUUGUAAACCUCUUUCGCUAUCGAACAAGGCUCACUUUUUUGGUGGGUUGAGGGUAGGUGGAGAAGAAGCGCCGGCUAACUACGUGCCAGCAGCCGCGGUAAUACGUAGGGCGCGAGCGUUGUCCGGAAUUAUUGGGCGUAAAGGGCUUGUAGGCGGCUUGUUGCGCCUGCUGUGAAAACGCGGGGCUUAACUUCGCGCGUGCAGUGGGUACGGGCAGGCUUGAGUGUGGUAGGGGUGACUGGAAUUCCAGGUGUAGCGGUGGAAUGCGCAGAUAUCUGGAGGAACACCGAUGGCGAAGGCAGGUCACUGGGCCAUUACUGACGCUGAGGAGCGAAAGCAUGGGUAGCGAACAGG